UAUAAAACGAAAAAAUUACAUUCUAUCUUGCAUGCAGAAAAAUAUUUUAUCCUUGCAUUUGAAUUAGGGUUUACUUUGAUUUUACAUAAUCUUGGGAGUUUUUGCAAGAAUUUUACGAACUUCAGGUACUUUUCGUUCGUAUUCUGAUAUAUAUUACGCGAAUUUUGUGAUUUUUUUUUUUUUUUUUUUGGUGCCUUUCAACGAGCGUAAUUGAUUUAAUUAUGUAGACCGUAGAAUAAUUAUCGUUCGUCUAGAUGAGAAUAAUUUGGAAGUCCACUUGAACCUUUGAUGGGCUCAUUCUUCAAAGUUCAAGCGCAUGACCAAAAAAUGAGCUAGAAAUUAUUUGUUUAGAUUUUUGAUGUUCUGCUAUUUAGGUGCCAUUAAGUGAUUUGAUCUCUUAAAUAUAGGGAUGUGAAUUUCAUUUAAAAUGUUGAUUCACUUAGUAUCUGUUCUGUUUGAUAAGAUUUCUACGACUUGUAGAUAAGCUUUUUAAGAAGGCUUUUUCAAUAAGUCAACUUCCUCUAAAAGCUCUUUUAGUCAGACAAAUAACUUUCAAAAAAUUAUUUAAACAUAUUCAAAAAUAUCUUUUGAUUUUUCAAAAACCCCAGACCUUUAAUUAACAACUAGACUAUUGAACCCAAAAAAAAAAAAGCAAUAGCAAUUUAUGUAGCUUCCUUUUAUAAGCAAAUUGUAGUUCAAUAAAGCCAUGAGUACAAUAAAAUUUUAACAAAAUUUGUACCGACAGCGAUAUGGCAAAACAUGAUUGAACUGUUUUUUUUUUUUUUCCAUCUUCCAAUAAUGUCGUGCCGUGUGUUGUCUGUAAGAUUUUUCUGUCAAAAAAUUCUAUACGUAUAGCAUUAUUGAUUGUAGUUAAUCACUUGCCAUAUUUGCUUAGACAACUUCUAGAAAAUAUGUUACAACUCCUCCUGAUACAGUUGUACCCAAUUUAUCCUUUAAUUUCAAACUUUUUUCUAAAUUCAUUAUGCGUUGAUCUCAUAAUAUAUGUUUGUUUCCAGAGGAAAGAUGAAGUUGUCAAUUGCAACGUUUUUGUGUUUCACUCUUAUUCUCGGAUUCUUCCUUCACACAAUAAUAGCCGAUGACAAUUCGAGUUUCUGCGACUCCAAGUGUGCCGUUCGAUGUUCGAAGGCGGGGCGUCAAGAUCGAUGCCUAAAGUACUGUGGAAUUUGUUGCAAGAAGUGUAAUUGUGUUCCAUCUGGUACCUAUGGGAACAAGGAUGAGUGCCCUUGUUAUAGGGACAUGAAGAACUCCAAGGGAGGACCAAAGUGCCCUUGAAAUUCUCCCUUGUUUAAUUCGUGGAAUUUUACAGGGAUUUGAGGACCCAGUUGCAUAAAUAUUGUAUCAAAAUCAGAAUAAUAAUGUGAUAUGAGGACCCAGUUGCAUAAAUAUUGUAUCAAAAUCAGAAUAAUAAUGUGAUAUUAAUGCAAUAAUCUAUCUAUGUCCUCUAUUUAUAAUGGAAAAUCCUCUACUAAUUAUUUAAUUACGGAAUUGCUUUUAAAUCUUAACUUCUGAUUGUGUAACAAUCGCAAUAGUGCUGGCCCUGACUAUAGGCAGGUAGGGUAGGUGAUCGCUUAAGACCCCACUUCGAUGAGGG
rnacentral:lncRNA from 1 species